rnacentral:rRNA from 1 species
GGGAACGUGCCCUUAGGUGGGGGACAACAGUUGGAAACGACUGCUAAUACCGCAUAAGCCAAUUUGGGAAAGCCUUCGGGCGCCUUGGGAUCGGCCCGCGUUAGAUUAGGUAGUUGGUGGGGUAAAGGCCUACCAAGCCGAAGACGGGUAGCGGGUGUGAGAGCAUGGCCCGCCGCAUCGGAACUGAGACACUGUCCGGACUCCUACGGGAGGCUGCAGUAACGAAUCUUCCGCAAUGCGCGAAAGCGUGACGGAGCAAUGCCGCGUGUGGGAUGAAGCGGUUACGCCGUGUAAACCACUGUCAGGACUUAGGAAGAACUGACCGAGUCCAAAGGAAGGGCCGGCUAAUCUCGUGCCAGCAGCCGCGGUAAUACGAGAGGCCCGAGCGUUAGGCGGAAUCACUGGGCUUAAAGGGUGCGUAGGCGGAUCAGUAAGCAUUUUGUGAAAUCCCUCGGCUCAACCGAGGAAUUGCAGAGUGAACUGCUGAUCUUGAGGUAGGCAGAGGUCAUCGGAACGUACGGUGGAGCGGUGAAAUGCGUAGAUAUCGUACGGAACGCC